GAGUACAGGGCUCUGAUUGCCUACACGCAGAUGAACAAGUCCAACGACAAUGAUUGGUUCCGAAUAUCCGCUGCCAAUUCCGAAGGGACACGUUGGACCGGCAAGUGUUGGUACGUCCAUAACCUCCUCAAGUACGAGUUCGAUCUCCAGUUUGAUAUCCCCGUUACUUAUCCGGCCACUGCUCCCGAGCUCGAGUUGCCGGAACUCGAUGGCAAGACUCAGAAGGUGAAAUUUGAUUUUGAUUUUGCUUUUUCUUUUUCGUUAAUUGCUUGGUUUGCUAAUUACUUUUGUUUUUUUGGCAGAUGUAUAGAGGAGGGAAGAUUUGUUUGACCGUGCAUUUCAAGCCACUUUGGGCAAAAAAUUGGUAUGCUGAAUUUUAGGUUUUCUUUUUUUUUAAAGUUAGUUGUUUUAAUUCGUCGAUUUUUAUGUUCUCAUGAUUUAUUUCGGUAUGAAGGAAAUUAGGGAUAUAGAAAGUAGAAGAAUUCAACUUGGUAUUUAUGUGCUUGUAGUGUACAAUUACUAAUCUAGCUGUUAGGUUUUGAUGGGAAAUGGAAUCCAAAAUCUAAAAUGGAAGUGACUUGAAUUAAGUAGUUGUUAAUGUACUUAUGAGCAAAAUGUGACCUUUGAUCAAGUAGAGGAUGUUUACUUGAUUCUGUCUGUAUUUAUAAUCAUUGUGGGAAAAUUUCUAUUUUAAAUACACCAAUCAUUCUUGAGCUAUUUUCCCAUGUUCAAUUUCAUAGUUGAAUGAUUAUUUAUCCUUUCAAGAACUUGAUACAUUCAAUGUUUGUCCAAUUCAGGCAAAUGAUUUGAAGUGUUAGUUCUUUCUGAUGGAGUCUAAUAGGUAGCUGCAAAACUAGGUUGAUUUUGAUUGAAAAGUAGAGGAAAUAGAAUCUGAAGUUUUAUAUGUAAAGGUUGAGGAAGAUAUAGAGGGCAAUUCUGAGAGGCGUAAGAGUUGAAAAAGAGAUUUUAAUGUGUUAGUAUUAUGCAAUCCUGUUUAAAAGUGCAGUAUGUUUCAUCAUCGUACUUGUUUUAACUCCAUUAAUAUGUGGCAUACAUCGAAUGAGAAAUGAAGUUCAAUUAUCUGAUUGCUCAAUCCUUUGUUACUGGAUUAACUGGAAUUCAGCCAUAGUUUUAAGGAUAACUUGUGUUAUAACCCUUUUGAACUUAUUCAUAUUGUUUCUGCUGGAAAUGUUACUCAAUAGUUCUAUCUUCUCUGAUCUUGUUGCACAGUCCUAGGUUUGGUAUAGCACAUGCACUUUGUUUGGGUCUUGCUCCAUGGCUUGCUGCAGAGAUUCCCAUUCUUGUCGAUUCUGGUAUGAUCAAGCAUAAGGAUGACGCAGCCUCAUCUAAUGAGUCUUAGCAUUUCUGAUGUUAAAGGUGUACCUUGAGUUUCAGAAAUAAACUCUCAGGCAUGAUUAUACAUUUUUACCGAGUGGCUUUUGAUAGUGUCAAAUUUCUGUUAUGAUCAGAUAGAUAAUGUUGAAACUUCUUAUUACUUUUGGAAUGCAAAUAGGAUCUAAUAUUAUUAUCGAAUGCAUUUGUCAAGAUUGAUUUAUGUUAAGUCUGUCAAAAUUUAACUCUUUCCUUUAAGGGGUGGGUGCUUCUCCACUCCUUGAAUCAAAUCCUGGUGCUGCAUCUCCUCUUUAUUAUGAUCCUAUUCCUUGAGUUUUUUUCUUAAACUAGUAUAUUUCUAAAUCUUAAUUCCAUAAUAAGAGUAGUUUUAAACUUUAUUACAAAAUAAAGAUACUUUCACUCAAAUAAAAUUCCACAUCAGCUUUUAUUCCACGUCAUUAUUUUCUUGCUUCAAUAUUCCUCCUUCAUAACCAGAGGAAUGGUUAGAUGUCGAUGCCGCCAUAUAACUAGCGUCAUAGCAACCAGUUCCCUCAGAGAUAAAAUGAAAUGGAAGGUACAUGGAGUCCUGCUUACUAUUUUCUUAGGCACCAUGGACAUCAUAAUCCCAAAACACUAUGUCACUAUCAGAGUUUCCACCUUCACCAUCUUCUGCUCAUUACCGAGUACCGUUUCCAGAAUUACCAAACAAAUGCUUCGAUGGAAUGCAUGAAGAAUAUUUGUCGCUGUAAUUAAAUCAUCAUCCCCAAUAUGAACACCAGCCACAGUUUUGAGAUAAUGUAGUAUGGAUGUCAACUGGAGCUAUUUCUGGUGAUAAGGUUUGGUUACUAAUCCAUGUGCUAAAUGCCCCCGAAACCAGGAAGCUUUCGUACUGAAUGCAGAUGGAAAAUUGCUUUUUGAGUUUUAUUCCAAAGAUCAAACUGAUCCCUCUUCUACGGUGAAACACUCGGUCAUGAAAGAGGAUGGAUUUUGCAGCACCAAUCGAACCGUCGUGUUCAGGAAGCGAGAAAUCAUGUACAUGAGCCGGAAGAAGGAAUGGCCGGUAUGUUCCAGAUGGUGCUGGCAUGAAUUUACCUCAUGGGCAUACAAGUUUAGUUGAUGGCCAUAAUCUCCCAAAAAUUAUGCUCAACACCGAACUGGAUAUGAAUAGGGGAAUGAAGUUUUUCAUCAUCAAAUUGUGAUUCCUUCACCCCACGUCCACAUUGCUCUUAAAGAACAUAGAGUCCGUUGUGGGAAUUAUUCUUACCCUUCUAAAGGAGAUAAUAUUUUUCAAACGUCACGUGAACAUGUAUAUGCACAAUCUUUAUGGAGAAAUGUUCAGAAUCCAUCUUAUGAUACAGUGGCAUAGAUAACCAACUCCACACUCUGUCAUUAUGAAACCAGUUCGAUCUCCUCAAGACAUGCUAAAUUUUGCCAUUUCCAUAACUCGUUUGGUUGCCCGAUCAACCUUCAACUUUAAUCUAUGAUAAAUCUAUUUCCAGUAACAAUCCCAAAUCACGAGAUGAUUUUAAUGUCAUCGGAGCAUUAAAGACAAAAUUGUUCCCAUAGAAUAACGAAGCAAAUCAUGUAGUGAAGAUGGAAAAGUCUGAUAUUUCAAGCAUUUGCUGUUCGAAGCACCAAAAAAAAAAAGAGAGAGAGAGAGAGAGAGAGGAAGAUGGCUGAUGGCAAUGGGCUGCACAGGAGAAUGCGAAUGCAGAGGAUAGAAGAAAACACUGCUGACGUGAAUAAAAAAAUCUGAUAUGGAAGUCCACUGAGUCAAAGUAUCUCUAUUUUAGAAUAAAGUUUAAAAACAUUCUAACUAGGGAAUUAAGAUUUGAAAGAACCUUAGUGUGAGAAAAAACUCCCUAUUCCUUACCCCACCGAAGAAAAGAAAAAAAAAAAAAGGGAAAAUGUGCAUGAGACAGAGUCGUGGCUCCGUGGCUGUGUUUUAGACUUUCACUAUUAUACUAUCCUUUAUUGGCACAAGAAAAAUGCCACUACCUUCGUGGUCUAAAAGAUGGCCCAUAACCAGAUUGGGAAAUUGAUUACUCAUGGUGCUAAACAAGUUUUACAAAUAACCUAAUACAAGUUUGCAGCCGGAUGGCCCAAAACAAGGAAAAUUGUUCCGCACACAAGACUACUACUACAAAUACUGUAAUAACCUAAUAAGAACCUGCACAACGCAGAGUGAAACCCAUUAAUGUCUAGCAAACUAGCAAACCCAGUGGAACCAAAAUCCAUAAAAUAUAAAAUUUAGCCUCCUCCUCUUUUGUAUGCUAUAGUCCAAGUAAAUCGCAGAAGCAGAUAAAUAAUGGAAAUGAAUGACAUUCCAAACAGAUACUACUGUAUCUUCUUGCCGCCCUGGUGUUACCUGCAGUAAGGGCCAAGAGUUAUUUUGCGAGUAGCAAUUUUAUGGUUCUGCUUUUGCAUUAAGAAAAAAUUUUCAAAUGCGGAAUUCCACCAACUUUAUGCAGGAUUAAUAUUAUCCACAGUUAUGUCCAACAACACCUACUUACCAAUUCCCAUCGUCAUUGGCUUAAAUGGUACAACUUAGAUCAGUUAGUUCCGUGAUUUACCAAAACUAUGUAAAGAAAUAACAGUACGAAGAUUCAAGCAUGACUAAAAAUCAAUUAUGAAAAACCAAAAAAUGAAAAAAGAGAAUGAACUAAAUACAAAAUCAAAUCUAAUAUCAUCAGGUAAUGUUUACAGGUGAAAUGAAAAGAAGUAAUAAGAAAGAGUCUUACCUAUGAACUUGAGGAGCUGGCUCCAGUGUCCUGUCUGUUUCCAGGUAUUGAUGUUCCCACAUAAACAUAUGGGAUGUGAGAUAUCUUCUGCCAAUCCUCUCCUUCCCCUCUCUUGCAUCGUUUUUCAAGUUCAGGACAAUCUUUAAUGGAAAGGUGUUGAAGUUGUUUGAGCUGCUGAAUGCCUUCUGGAAGAGAAUUUAUAUUUUGACAGUCUGAAAUUGCCAAAGAUUUUAGUGAAACGAGGUUGUUUACCUUUGGCAGUGCCAUGAGUUUUGGACAGAUACGAAUUUCCAGAUUUUGUAGCAUCUUCAUAUGUUCAACUCCUUCUGGCAGAGAUGCUAAUUGUUGGCAACUUAAAAUGGUCAAGCUCUUAAGUGCCAAGAGAUUUUGCAGACCAUCUGGUAGAGAAGCCAGAUUCGAACAAAACAUAAUUGUUAGGCGCUCAAGGGCCGUGGCAUGUUGCAUUCCUGUUGGCAAAGAAGUCAAGCCCGCACAGUUUUCAAUAGAAAGUGAUCGGAGUGAGCUCAAUCUUUCUAAGCUUUGCUCUGGCAGUGUACUUAAUCUAGGACACUCGAUAAUAUCCAGUGUCUCUAGAGAGAUGAGAUUUGUGAAUCCAUCAGGCAAACUUUCUAGCAUCUCGCAAAAAGCAAUUUUCAAUGACUUCAGACCUCUGAUUUUCCCCAAAUUAGCUGGCAAUGUUUCAAGGCUGGGACAAGAGGUAACUGUCAAAGAAAUAAGAAAGCAACAGUUUUCCAGCAGUACUUUUGGUAUGAAGAAACCGAACUCUCGAAAAGAGUCAAUAACAAGUGUCGAAAGUGUUCUCAGCUCUGCUGCUGAUCUAAGCAACAAUGGAUCACAGUCCUGCACCACUAAGCGUUGAAGAGUUGGAAACCAUGGCAUUGUUUUUAAUAAUGGACAUUUCAUGAUGGAUAGUCGCUUGAGGCGAGGGAAAGCUUCUGUUGAACCCAUGCUUUCCCAAGUUCUAAGUUCAGGAAAGUCUCGAAGGAUUAGUUCAUUCAAUGGUGGAAAUGGCCUCAUUCCUCCACCAGAGAACUCAUCAUUGAUUUUCACCACUUUGUCCAUCCCUUGGAUGUUGAGACACUUAAGUUUUGGAAGUUGGCCAAGCUUGGGGAGAGUUUCACAUCUUUUGCAGUUGAUUAACUCAAGUUCUCUCAAGUUGCCGAUAUCAAAGUGAUUCAUCCAGUGUGGGAAUUGGCGUCCUACAUAUCCAUUUAUUGACAACCUUCUUAUAUUGUAGUUAGGCUGAAGGCUUUCCAUCAACUUUUCAUCUAGUUCUUCGGUUUGUCUGAUUUGUCUUGAUGUGCUUUGGUUUAACUUAUUUACCUUCAUCACCAUCACCCCUAAACAAUCCCAAUGUGUGAAGUUGCAUACGUUUCAGAUGCAUAUGGGUCCAGUCCUUAACAUUCUCGAGGUGUUUAAUUUUCAACUCACCUCGAAGAUUGUUUAGAUGGUCGAGGAAUAAAUACUCGCCAGCAAUAACUAUUGGUAAAGUCUGAAGCCUCUCUAGAAAACCAAUAGAAUAAUAAGACAAGCGAGCAAGCCUUCCACAAUCCCUUAUGUUUAAAUGUAUCAGCUUUACUAACUUUAUUAUUUCUUUGGGCAACUCUAGCAGAUCAGUGCAGCCUGAGAGUUCAAGUGUUCGCAAAUUGCACAGAUGACCAAUUGUCUCUGGUAAUACUUCAAGAAGAGUGUUUGAGAGGUCAAGAUAUCUCAAAUAUAUCAAAUCACCAAUGGAUCUAGGCGUCUUUUUUAUGCCACUUCCACUCAAAUUCAGAAUUUUAAGGUGCCUAAAAUGUGAAACUAGGUUUCUCAGGGAUUCCAUUGAUAUUUCUCCAGAAGCCAAGAGGUUGAGGGUACACAAUUUAUGUGCUUUGUACAAGACUUCUGGUAGCAUAUUGGACCUGUAAUCACUCUCAAUCAAUGCAUGUCGAGUUUCUGCAAGAUGGCCACCACCAACUCCUUGUGCUUGAUCACUGUUUUCUAUUGUCAAGAACUCAUUUCCAGCAACAGAUUUUGCAAGAUCAUACAUCAGAUUAGGUACUUUAAAUUCUACCACAUUGCUAUUGCUUGAGAGUUGGAAAAAUGACAUCUUCAGUAAAUCGUUGAAGCACUUAUUGCCAAUGUCCUCAAGCGUGUUAGGAUAAUCACCUGCAGAUAAUUGAACUAAGCCUUCCGCAAUCCACUGUUGGAUUAACUUUUCCUUAUUCAAAUGAUAAUUUCUAGGAAAUAUGGCACAGUAUGCAAAGCAUCGCUUUAAAUGUGAUGGCAAAUGAUUGAAACUCAACCUCAGGACAGAUAAUAUUCUUUUCUCACCUGCAUCAAGGUUCCAUAGGUCACUAUUUUGCACACGCAUCCAUUCAGCUUCCUCUCUUUCGGACCGUAACGCGCGACCGAGAACUUUAGCUGCUAAAGGCACACCAUGGCACUUCUCUACAAUCUUCUGAGCGAUAGGCAAUAGAUUUGACUAGGAAUCUUCUUCCCCAUAUGCAAAGGCAUGGAGCUUGAAUAGGGUCCAACAGUCAUCUUUGGUUAGGGCUUCCAAAUGGUGGGGAGGAGUACUACUCAUUGCAGAAGCAACUUCUUCACUCCUGGUGGUGACUAUAAUUUUGCUUCCUUCAGCUCCACAUCUUAACAGGUUCCGUACUUUAUCCCACUCUUCUUGAACAUCAUUCCACACGUCAUCCAUCACAAGUAGAUAUCUCUUGCCGUAUAAUGAGUCUCGGAAUUGGGAUUGCAGAACACUCAUCACGGAGGAUUCACACCUCUGCUCAGUCACACACUCCAAAAUUUCACUAAGAAGCUUCUUUGUGUUGAAAUUGUCAUACAAAGAAACCCAAAUUUUCUUAUCAAAGUGUCCAUCCAGACUCUGAUCAUUGUAAAUCAAUUGAGCGAGUGUCGUCUUCCCAAUUCCCCCAAUCCCGACUAUUGGAAUCACCCAACUAUCAGCAUCGGAUGAUAACAACAAAUCAACAAUCUUCUUCACGUCUUCUGUUCGACCAAAAACUUCUAAUUCCUCCAAGUACGAUCCAGUUUCCCGCUUCUCCAUAGUAUCUGAUCUUUUAUAAGCUACAGCUUCCUUGAAAUGGAAGGUAGACAUCUCUCUAGCUAUUUCGUCCAAUCUUUCAACAAUCUCUGUCAGCCUACGUGACAUUUCAAAGCUACUUAAGAUUGACUUAAGAGUGAAAGAAGUGACCCGAACCUGCUUUCGAGUUUCUUCAUAUAUCGAUGCCCCAAUUCUUCUAAACUUGUUUUUUACUGGAUUUUCCAUCACCAUCUUUCCUUUUCCCUUUACCAACUGUCUCCGCAAAACUUGAGUGGUGAUUUCAUCCAGGAGAUUAUCCGCAUCGUAAGCCACAUCCCUAAGCUUUGAUAGCCAAAUCUUCACGUUCUUAUCCUUCAGUUGUCUCUCCUCUGCAUCUUCGAUUACAGCUUGAAUGAUUAGCAGCUUUUCUUGUAACUUCUUGAUAUUCUUCUUUUGAUCUUUAGAAGUUUCCACGGUGCUGAGAUAAGAAGCCAUAUUCUCAUAGAUCACCUGCAGAAGAGGGGAUACAAUUAAGGAAGCGACUUCCAUUCCUCAAGUGGGGGUUUAGUUUUGACCCAAAGUUGUGGCAAAUUCAGGGAUGGCCUUAGAUUUCUAACAAUAGCGAUGGGUGAAGGAUGGUCAAAGAUAAGAGCAGAAGCUAAGAGAGAGGGAAGACAGAUGCAGACGGAACAGAGAAGAGUAUGACAGGGAGAUGACCAAUGGCUGACGUCAAGAUCAGUUGUUAGGAUGAGUCGAACUAUGUAAAAAGAUCCAAUUUUUAUGAAAAAAUAUUUUUUUAAGAAAAAAUGUCAUUUUUCAAAACUAUAUAAAAAGUAAUUUUGACAAAUAAUAAGUUAGUGACCAUCUUUAAUAGUAAGUAUAUAUUUUAUAAAUUAAGUUAAUACUAAAAUCAUCUUACUAAGUAUAAUUUUUUGUACACUUAAUUUAAUAAUAAAAAUUAUUAUCAUACUAAAAUAAUAAUAUCAACAGUUAAUAAUCUAUUUUAACCGAUGAAUUAAUUCAUCUUAGAUAAUAUUAAAUAUAUAAAAUGACUUAUUUAUAACAAACUGCUAAAGUUAUAAAAAUAGAAAGUGAUUAGUGUUCACAUCUCGAGCACUGUCGUGGAUUUUUUUUAAUUAUUUUAAUAUUGAAAUGUAAGAAAAUAUGUUAAAUUAUAACAAUAAAUCAUACUUUUUAAAUUGAUAAUAUAAAAAUUUAUGUUUAAAUAAGUAUUAUAAUAUAAAAAAAUUAGGUAUAUGAUUGACUUAUAGUUUACUUUUUUUAAAAUUAUUUAAGGAAUAAGUUAGAGAUAAUGUAACUUGUGUUAUUGAGUCAAAUAAGUUAUAAUGAACAUUUUAUUUAAUAAAUAUGUUAAAUUUAGAUUACAUUAAACACUAAGUAUAUUUAUCUAUAAUUAAUCGAAUUCAUAAAUAUUAUAGAUUCAUAAAUGAUAAAAUUUAUAAAUAAUUAAAUUUACUAAUUUUGAAUUUAAUUUAUAAUUAAUUAAUAAUAAAUAUGAAUCUAGACUUAAAAUUUUAAAUAACACGAAACACUAAAUACAUUUAUUCAUAAUUAAUUGAGUUUAUGAAUAUUAUACAUUCAUGAAUACCUAAAUUCAUAAACAAUCAAUGUAUUUUUUAAUAUUAGAUUAAAUGUUAUUAAAUAAAAUUUGAUGACAUGUAAAAAAAAACUAAAAUAAUAAUUAAAAUAAUCCAAACAUGAUAAAAAUAAAGCUGAUACGAUUGUAUCUAUGUGUCAUAAAGAUAGACAACAUAGAAUAAAAACAUAUUUAUAUUAUAUUUUAAAAUUUAAGAUUAAAAGAAUGUGGUUUAAUGGACUUCUAUGAUUUAUUAAUUUCUAAAAUAGUUUUAUACGUGAAAAACUUCAUUGAUUUAAAAAAAAAAUCAAAAUGAUAUUAAUUUGUAUAUAGGAUUUCUACUACUUUUUAAUUUUUAUAUUUUCAUAAUUUCAAAAAGGGAUUUUAAAAAAUAGAAAAUUAGUUAUCAAUUUUGUAAGUUUUCGGUUGACAAACACCAACUCCAACCAAGAACUCCUUUGAAAAGGAGUUAUGGGCUAAAUCUUGGGCCAUCUGGUUGGACUCAGCUGAAGUUAGGUUCAUAUCUAGUCUACUGCUAAGUUGGGUUGGGUAGUAAUUAAUUAGAUUACUUGAACAGCCCAUUUAAAGGCCCAUGAUGUGAAAAAUGUGGUACUAUAAUUUUAUUACUUUUUGUUUGCGCAUUUCAACCAAAUGUAUUAAAUUUUUCUUUUUAUUACUUAUGGGCAUUGAAGCCGAUUACCGCAUAUCUUAUCACUGUUCACUAGCUAGGGAUUAUACACAACCGUUUGGGGAUAUAUAUUAUAAUUAAUUAAUUCAUGUAAUUAUUUUUAAAAAAUAAUAUUCUACAAGUUUAAAUUUUUUUUUUUUUUCAGAUUGUAAUUUUUUUAAAAAAUACGAUGUGGUAUGAAACACGGUAUAUAUAAUCACGUGUAGGCUGUAGCCAAUAGCUUUGGCAUCAAGUCAAGAUUGUUGAGUUUGAUUAAUAAUUUGGUCUUACCUUAUUCGGUUUGGUGAUUAAUCAACUGUUGAACUUACUUUCCCCACCUACGCUUCCUGGUAUAACAAAUAUUUUGUUCUAUAUCUGAUAUAGAGAAAACCAAAACCAGUUGGAAUAUUAAACUAUCAAAGUUAAAGUUAACCUAGUAACAAGUAGACUACAUUAGUUUUCAUCAAUAUAAUUGUUUAACACUCAAUCAGGAUCAUGCAAACGUAACCACUUGUCAUUUUGCUUUUAGUCGAAGUAUGCAGCUGAAGUACUGAUAAUAUUAAAGUAUUUGAUCAUUCCUUGAACUGGCCAGCUUCUAGCUGGGAAGAAUCAAACUUUGUUGAAGAGAGGAAUCGCGUUGGAAUGUCGAAUCCGUAUCCAAAUGAUCUAUAGCAUGCACAGAUAAUUCCGGGCAAAAAGCUGCUACCUAAUUUGUUUGUCUUGAACAGUGUUGCGAAACGACAGCUCAAGAAUUAAUCUAUGAGCGACAACUUGUGAAGGAUUCUUGGAAUGCACUACAAUCAUUCAUGUACUAAAAUGAAAACAAAGAAAACUUUCAAGCUAAAGCUUCCCUAGUUGGAAAACCUCAAUUUUCACUCUAAGAAAAAUUUCUGAGAAUCAUUAAGCACGACUCCAAGUACUAAGUAGACAUCUGUUAUUGCUUUUGUAAAACACAAUGUUGCAGGUACUUGUCCCAUGGAUUUUUAAGAGAAAAAAAAUGAAAAAAUUUGCAAAUUAAAGUCUAUUAUAUACCCUAUUGAGCAACAAGGUUAGAUUGUCGGAUUAGAUUUAGAUAUGGUAGGUCUUGAAAUUAGGUCGAAAGUAUUAUAUCUCUUCUAGAGUUGUGAUAAUUUGCCUUUAAACAUUCUUUUGAUGUGAUGAAAGAAUUUACAUUUUAGGGAGGAGGUCUGAAAUUGUGAGAUCUUAAAGAUUCAAGUUUUACUAUACGUGAGAUUAAUCUAAUUUUAUAUUGAAUUUAUCGAAUUAUAUGUUAUUUUGUUGAUUAAUUAAUUUUUUAUUUAUAAUACCUAAAUAUGAUUAAAAUAUUUUUUAAAUUAGUUAUUUCAUUAAAAAAAGUUACUUUUUAAUAUAUUAAAAAUUAUACAUAAAAUAUUAUGACUUUUACUUAUAAAAAUUUGAUUGAGAUUAUAUAUCAAGAUAUCAUCUCAAACGAGGGUUAUGUUUAUAAAUACCAUUCAUAUAAUUUUCAUGUGCUAAGACUUGAAGACUUGAUUUGUUAUAGGUACUUGGUCAUCAAUUUAUACUAAGACCUUUGGAAUUAAUGAGGUAUUAGAAUUAAGUUGAACAACAUUUGUCUAUGGUGGUGCACCCUGCCUAGCUAUUCCUCCAAUUAUGGGAGGAAAUUAUCAAAUUGCUGAUCAACAAUGCAAAGCCAAACAGCUUUAACAAUAACAGUUAAUUAUCAUUGUAUUAUUAUUAUUAUUAUUAUAGAAUCAAGCAAAGCUGCUCCCUCCAGAUCUUAAAAUGUAAGUAUAAUUAGGGAUGAUAAUAUAUCGAGUUGAGAUGAAUUUUUAUUCGUCUCAAACUCGAUAUAAUUAUAUAUAUAUAUAAAAUUUAAAUUUGAUCUGAUUUUAUAAAUUUUUUAUUUUUUAUUCGAAUUUAAUAUGAUAUAAUAUAAAAUCGUAUCCGAUCUUACUUAAUUUGAAAUUAAUCAAAUAUGUUUUAAAUAUAAAAAUAUUAUUUUUAAUAUAAAUAUAAAAUUAAAUAAAUAUUAAAAAAAUAAUUUUAUAUAUAUUAGGCUGAAUUAAAUCAAAUUUAUUUAAAAUUUAACCCAACUCAAUUCAAUUAAAAAAAUAUUUAACUUUAAAAAAAUCAGAUUAAAUUAAAAUCCAUCCGAUUCAGUUUGGACUACCUUCCCUAAAUAUAGUUGGCUGUCCACGACUAAUUUGUAAGAAAAGUUGUGGCAACCACAGACCCUGAAAAUUUUGAAAUCCAAUCCACUUCGCACAUGGUCGCACUCAUCUUAUCUCUAUCCUCACUGUAUCUACCUACUCUACAUUUGAUCGAUUUUGGGUGGGGAUUGUUGGAAGGGGGGGGGGGAAAGGGUUAGGGUUUUGAGCAAAGAGGGGUUUGGAUUGGAGGGAGCAUAAACAUACUUUUCUUGGUAGGCCCAGUAAUUGAUUAAUUAUAUUAAUUGGAGGUGAUAUGCUGUCAGUCGCUGAGUGCAAAAUUAACUGAACUUUGCAUUUUCCACACUAAAAGCGAAUUUCCAACGAUACCCUCCUUGAUCCGAUAUAAUAACAGACUUUUUUUUUUUCCCGGAGAAACUAGCUGAACCUUUUAACGGAUAACAGUUACAAACUGCAACGGGCAUUUAUACUUCAAUUUUCAAUCUUCAAUCAAAAUCAAAAAUAGGAUCAGGGUUAGGGUUAGCGAAAGAGGGGAAACCAGAAAAUGGAAGGCUGGGACCCGAACACAAAGUCGACGUUGACUCAGAUCCCGCUACUGACGACGAAGGCGGGCCCCAGAGAUGGAGCGGCAUGGACUCAGAGGCUGAAAGAGGAGUACAGGGCUCUGAUCGCCUACACGCAGAUGAACAAGUCCAACGACAAUGAUUGGUUCCGAAUAUCCGCUGCCAAUUCCGAAGGGACUCGUUGGACCGGCAAGUGUUGGUACGUCCAUAACCUCCUCAAGCACGAGUUCGAUCUCCAGUUUGAUAUCCCCGUUACUUAUCCGGCCACUGCUCCCGAGCUCGAGUUGCCGGAACUCGAUGGC
rnacentral:lncRNA from 1 species